rnacentral:rRNA from 1 species
GUAGGGUGCGAGCGUUAUCCGGGAAUCAUUGGGGCGUAAAGAGCUCGUAGGCGGUUCAGCAAGUCGGCUGUGAAAUUCCGAGGGCUCAACCUCGGAACUGCAGUCGAUACUGUUGUGACUCGAGUCCGGUAGAGGAGAAUGGAAUUCCCGGUGUAGCGGUGAAAUGCGCAGAUAUCGGGAGGAACACCAGUAGCGAAGGCGGUUCUCUGGGCCGGCACUGACGCUGAGGAGCGAAAGCGUGGGUAGCAAACAGGAUUAGAUACCCUGGUAGUCCACGCCGUAAACGUUGGAUACUAGGUGUGGCGUUCCGACCAACGGUCGCCAUGCCGAAGCUAACGCAUUAAGUAUCCCGCCUGGGGAGUACGGCCGCAAGGCUA